rnacentral:rRNA from 1 species
UAGGGAAUCUUCCGCAAUGGACGCAAGUCUGACGGAGCAACGCCGCGUGAGUGAAGAAGGAUUUCGGUUCGUAAAACUCUGUUGUUAGAGAAGAACAGCGCAUAGAGUAACUGUUAUGCGUGUGACGGUAUCUAACCAGAAAGCCACGGCUAACUACGUGCCAGCAGCCGCGGUAAUACGUAGGUGGCAAGCGUUGUCCGGAUUUAUUGGGCGUAAAGCGAGCGCAGGCGGUCAAUUAAGUCUGAUGUGAAAGCCCCCGGCUCAACCGGGGAGGGUCAUUGGAAACUGGUUGACUUGAGUGCAGAAGGGGAGAGUGGAAUUCCAUGUGUAGCGGUGAAAUGCGUAGAUAUAUGGGGGAACACCAGUGGCGAAGGCGACUCUCUGGUCUGUAACUGACGCUGAGGCUCGAAAGCGUGGGUAGCAAACAGG